rnacentral:rRNA from 1 species
GACGAACGCUGGCGGCGUGCCUAAUACAUGCAAGUUGAGCGCUGAAGGUUGGUACUUGUACCUACUGGAUGAGCAGCGAACGGGUGAGUAACGCGUGGGGAAUCUGCCUUUGAGCGGGGGACAACAUUUGGAAACGAAUGCUAAUACCGCAUAAAAACUUUAAACACAAGUUUUAAGUUUGAAAGAUGCAAUUGCAUCACUCAAAGAUGAUCCCGCGUUGUAUUAGCUAGUUGGUGAGGUAAAGGCUCACCAAGGCGAUGAUACAUAGCCGACCUGGGAGGGUGAUCGGCCACAUUGGGACUGAGACACGGCCCAAACGCCUACGGGAGGCAGCAGUAGGGAAUCUUCGGCCAUGGACGGAAGUCUGGCCGAGCGACGCCGCGUGAGUGGAGGAGGUUUUCGGAUCGUAAAACUCUGUUGGUAGAGAAGAACGUUGGUGAGAGUGGAAAGCUCAUCAAGUGACGGUAACUACCCAGAAAGGGACGGCUAACUACGUG